CGGCAUGGCUGGGCGCAGCCUGAUCAGCCAUGCCGCGUGUGUGAAGAAGGCCUUAUGGUUGUAAAGCACUUUAAGCGAGGAGGAGGCUACUUUAGUUAAUACCUAGAGAUAGUGGACGUUACUCGCAGAAUAAGCACCGGCUAACUCUGUGCCAGCAGCCGCGGUAAUACAGAGGGUGCAAGCGUUAAUCGGAUUUACUGGGCGUAAAGCGCGCGUAGGCGGCUAAUUAAGUCAAAUGUGAAAUCCCCGAGCUUAACUUGGGAAUUGCAUUCGAUACUGGUUAGCUAGAGUGUGGGAGAGGAUGGUAGAAUUCCAGGUGUAGCGGUGAAAUGCGUAGAGAUCUGGAGGAAUACCGAUGGCGAAGGCAGCCAUCUGGCCUAACACUGACGCUGAGGUGCGAAAGCAUGGGGAGCAAACAGGAUUAGAUACCCUGGUAGUCCAUGCCGUAAACGAUGUCUACUAGCCGUUGGGGCCUUUGAGGCUUUAGUGGCGCAGCUAACGCGAUAAGUAGACCGCCUGGGGAGUACGGUCGCAAGACUAAAACUCAAAUGAAUUGACGGGGGCCCGCACAAGCGGUGGAGCAUGUGGUUUAAUUCGAUGCAACGCGAAGAACCUUACCUGGCCUUGACAUAGUAAGAACUUUCCAGAGAUGGAUUGGUGCCUUCGGGAACUUACAUACAGGUGCUGCAUGGCUGUCGUCAGCUCGUGUCGUGAGAUGUUGGGUUAAGUCCCGCAACGAGCGCAACCCUUUUCCUUAUUUGCCAGCGAGUAAUGUCGGGAACUUUAAGGAUACUGCCAGUGACAAACUGGAGGAAGGCGGGGACGACGUCAAGUCAUCAUGGCCCUUACGGCCAGGGCUACACACGUGCUACAAUGGUCGGUACAAAGGGUUGCUACCUAGCGAUAGGAUGCUAAUCUCAAAAAGCCGAUCGUAGUCCGGAUUGGAGUCUGCAACUCGACUCCAUGAAGUCGGAAUCGCUAGUAAUCGCGGAUCAGAAUGCCGCGGUGAAUACGUUUCCCGGGCCUUGUACACACCGCCCGUCACACCAUGGGAGUUUGUUGCACAGAGUAGCUAGCCUAACUGCAAGAGGGCGGUUACCACGGUGUGGCCGAUGACUGGGGUGAGUACCAAAGAGGAGGAACAUACACACA
rnacentral:rRNA from 1 species